rnacentral:lncRNA from 1 species
CCUUGGCCUUGGGUUUGGUAUCAAAGAAAUGGGUGCUAUCGGCAGAGGAUACAUCCAGGCCAGUGAGCAUAGCUACAUCGGCAAGUGUAGGGGAAGCAGGACCAUGGCCAAAGACAAAGGCAUUGAGGGUGUCUGACCAGAAAUACGAUGCAGCUAUCAGCAGAGAUUCGUUCCUAUGCAUAUCGGCAAUGGACAAUCUAAUGCAUUGGUCUAGCUUUCUCUCGCCCCAGUGAACUUCAUUUCAAUUGCUGACCCUCAGAAACCAAUCCGUCCAUCCCACAGUAGGGCUGGGCCAGGAACGGAAAGUGUCCUUCCACAGAUCCAAAGAAAAGUUCUCGGUUCUAAAGGGAAUCAUGUUAGUUUCUGCAUUAAUGAGGUCGGUUGGAUCUGGAUCUCCUAACGGGCCAAGACAUUGGAGGUGUGGUUGAUCGGUAGGGAUGACAAUUUUGUUAGACAAUUCCUAGUGGUUUUGGAGGUAAAAAAAAGGAAACAAAGAAAGAAAAAGAAAAUAUUCAGUAAAAUGGAUUGCGGAUGAACAGGGGUGCGAAAAAGGUAUGAAGGACGGAGUGAAGAACUGACCUCAGGGACGAUGAAGUUGACGGCCAUCUUGUUGCGAGGAGGAUGAUCGAGGGCUUCGGAGUUGGUGGAAAAAGACUUCGUCGGAGAUCUUGGAGUUCUUGAACAGCGCCGCCGCCGGGAAAGUAAAGUUGGAGUUGUGGAAUGAUGAGAUGGAGAAGGAGUACCCGAGAAGGAACUAUUUAUAGGACAAAACGGGCAAGAGAAAAUCUGACUUAUCUCUUUGCCGCAUCCGUGAAAUCCGAGGGUGCUCGG